GAUGAAGAACGCAGCGAAAUGCGAUAAGUAAUGUGAAUUGCAGAAUUCAGUGAAUCAUCGAAUCUUUGAACGCACAUUGCGCCCGCCAGUAUUCUGGCGGGCAUGCCUGUCUGAGCGUCAUUUCAACCCUCAUGCCCCUAGGGCGUGGUGUUGGGGAUCGGCCAAAGCCCGCGAGGGACGGCCGGCCCCUAAAUCUAGUGGCGGACCCGUCGUGGCCUCCUCUGCGAAGUAGUGAUAUUCCGCAUCGGAGAGCCAUGAGCCCCUGCCGUUAAACCCCCAACUUUCCAAGGUUGACCUCAGAUCAGGUAGGAAUACCCGCUGAACUUAAGCAUAUCAAUAAGCGGAGA
rnacentral:misc_RNA from 1 species